AUGCACUCUCUUUCUUGGGAAGUGAGGACAUUUACCGUAACACUUGUUCUAAUUCUCCACACUUAAUGGAUUGCGCUGGAAUGAGAGAAACAUCUCUACACUUGUUUUUUUUGAGAGAGCCAGAGAUCUGAGAGCAUAAAUCUUUAACCCCAAAACUAAACGAGCCAUAAAAUUAUGAACAACUCUUUGGAUUCGCAUUUGGCUUACGCGUAGUGUGUGUGACUAGCGCAAAACUAAAUAGUUUUUAUUAUGUAAUUAAGAUGUUAACAAAGAUGCGAAACGGGCCACGCAAUUAAGGCGGCUCAUAAAACAACAACAGAAACAAGA